UGUAUAGCAGGAUAAAUCAGGAAGAGACAUAGAGCUGCCAGAGGGAAGUCUGUAUUUAAACACAGCUCCCUUUGAUUGUUGCAAAUGGAGAGAGGAACAUGAUGAAAUUUCUAAGGCUUAAGCUCAAAGGCACAACCAUGAAAGAUCCAAGUCGUAGGAGUACUAGUCCAAGCAUUAUCAGUGAAGAUAUGAUCAUGAAUGGUCACUCUCAUGAAGAUGAUAAUCCAUUUGCAGAAUAUAUGUGGAUGGAAAAUGAAGAGGAAUUCAACAGGCAGAUUGAAGAGGAAUUGUGGGAAGAAGAAUUUAUAGAACGUUGCUUCCAAGAAAUGCUGGAAGAAGAGGAAGAGCACGAAUGGUUCAUUCCAGCAAGAGAUCUUCCGCAAACGAUGGAUCAAAUUCAAGACCAGUUUAAUGAUCUUGUUAUCAGUGACAGUUCGUCACUGGAAGAUCUGGUGUUUGAAGAACUAACCUCUUGGGAAUAAUAAGGACAUGGAGAAUUCAUUUCCAUUGUUCAUCUGUCAGUUUCCUUGAGGUUUUCAGUGAAGCUCAGAUCCCGUUGUAAGUCUGCAGGGUUACAAAUAGUUCUAAAGAUCACAUAAACUCUCCCUUACAAUAUAGUAGAUACAAUAUCAUAGUCUGAUGAUGUUCUCAUUUGGUCAAGAGUAAUCUGAAUCCCAAUGCAAAGGAGUUUGUUCCUGGGGUGAAGUACUAAAUAUAUGAGUAGACUGGGCCCUCUUUUGGUGGAUGUAGCACAAUUUCCACACUGUGAAGCCAGUAUUAGAAGAUUUAAUUGUUAAAACGCUCUCUCUUCUUGUCACUGUGUUACACUUACGCAUUGCCAAAGUUUUGUUAGUCUUGCAUGCUUAAUAAAAGUGCUGAGACUGUUAUUAAGUCAA